UUCUUGGAUUAUCCAACUUCAAUUAAUUUUUGGUUUGUUCUCUGCCCGCCCCGGUUAUAUCUUUUUCAGUAAGAACGAGGAACAAGAUAGUGAAAUUGCUGCAGAAAUAUGGGAGGCAAGGCUUCCUCUAAAUCAAAGUCGAGAGGCGACAAAAUUUCAUCCAAGAAGAAGGGUAGAAGAAAGGAAUCAAAGAAGCGGAGCCGAAGUUAUGAUUCAGUUAGCUCAUCUUCCGAUGAUGACUCGUUGUACUUGGAACAUAGAUCCUCCACUUUGAAAACUGAUCAUAGGAGAAGGCUAACUAAAACUAGCAAGCGUGGUCGUCAUGACUCUCCCUUGUCAGAUUCAGAUUCAUCAUCCACUGAUGUCAGUGAUUACAAGACAAGGAGGUCCCGAAGGUCUAGAGUUGUCUUAAAAGAUGUAAAAAGAAAACGCCGCAAGAGGGAUAUCCGCACCACUGGUGAUGUAGAUACAACCAGUGGACGGAAAAGGAAAAGAUCGGGUAAGGAUCAUGUCAGUAAGCCAAUAAAGAAAUCCUCAAAGAAGAAUUCAAGAAAAGUUGCGAGCAGUUCUUCAGGCUCAGAUUCGGAAAGCUGCUCCUUGUCGCAAAGUAGAAGUGGUAGCAGUAGUGGAGAUGAUAAGCUUCGAAGGAAUAAAGUAGCUUCUUCUAAGGUAAAAGAGAGGCUGAAACAUAGGCAAUCACGCAAGGGAAAGCAGAAGCAUGAAGAUAGGAGUCCAAGUUGUACAUCAAUCGGUAGGGGGGGUGACCCCAGUUAUAGUGUAGGUGGCAGUGACAGGGAACAUUUUCCUGUCGACAACUCUAGACGCCUGAGGUCAGUUAUCACUUUUGCUGAUCAACCCCAUGAUAAAGAUGGGAGUAGAUGGGAGAUGGAUCCUCAUAAAGAAGAGAUUGUGUAUGAUGAAUAUGAUUAUCCUUCUCCAAGAAGUAUCGACAGUAAUGAAGGGGGAAGUAAGAUGGAGGCAGGUGACCAAUCGAUUGUUUCAUUUAGUGACAGGAUAUGCCUAGAAAACGUUGCUGGUGACAAAGUAUGCGAACUGGGAAAAUCUGGAAUAGAUGAUGGUGAUCAUCAUCAGUCAGAAGGAUGCAUAAAUAAACCUGAGGAGAAAGAGAUUGGUACAUCUGUUCCUGUUGCUGCUUCGGGAGGGGGUGAUCUGGAGUCAAUUCUGAGGCAGAAAGCCUUGGAAAAUUUGAGGAAGUUUCGCAGGAUGCCCCAAACUCGUCCAAGGAGCAAUGUGGUGGAGAGAGAUAAUGAGAGUAAUGUGGCCACACUUCCCGAUAGAACAGUAGAUAUCGGUGAGAACGUUCCAAUAGAGCAUGGUAUCUCUGAUUAUCAAGAAACGAAUCAGAGAAAUGGGCUCCUAGCAAUUCAAAGAGAAAUUGUGACGCUCCCGGAUAGUGAACACAUUGAGGAGAAACCCCAAAUGGCUAAUCCGAGCAUCACACCUCCAUGCAAUGCAUCAGCGCUCGUAGAAUGUUCGAAGGGAGAUAAGAAUUCCUAUUCUCCAGCUGCUGAGAUGAAAGCUGAAUCAGGGAACGACGUUAGUCCUGGAGCUGGAGUUACUAAAGCAAGUUCUUCUAUUGCUGAGCCGAUUUCUGGGGAGCAUAGCUCAGGACAAACAAAGGACAGUUCUGAAUUUGAGCAGAAAACAAUGUCAGUGAUGAGGGGAGGCGAACUCGUACAGGUGAGUUAUAAGGUGUACAUCCCAAAAAAGGCCCCUGCUCUAGCCAGGAGGCAACUCAAGCGGUAAGGAAAGGAAAGCAGAAGUGGAUUUUGGAUUAUAAUGACAUUCAAAAGAGAUUCAUGUGUUUGCUGGAAAGCAGUGCACUGUUGGCGUUUGCCCAGCGACAUAAGGUGGUCGACACGGGUCUGCAAUCGGCCCGCCCCCGCACCCGGUCGGAGCGUGGUUGGAUCCCCGACCCGGGAGCAAAGAGGUUGGCCAGCACACCAACCACCGGG